GGCAGUGAUGUUAUCAAAAUAUUUGCUACUCUUCAUGGGCAACGAGCCCAUUUGAUGAUCACAACCACCAAGAUCUCUCAGGCC
rnacentral:snoRNA from 1 species